rnacentral:rRNA from 1 species
AGUGAACGCUGGCGGUAGGCCUAACACAUGCAAGUCGAACGGCCGCACAGUAAGAGUUUGCCCUUACGGGUGGCGAGGGGCGGAUGGGUGAGGAAUACAUCGGCUUCUACUAUUUCGUGGGGGAUUACGUAGGGAAACUUAUGCUAAUACCGCAUAUGAUCAACGGCUGAAUGCAGGGGAUAUUCGCACUUUUCGUGACACUUAUAGCCGAUGUCGCAUUAGCUAGUUGGCGAGGUAAGGGCCCACCAAGGCGACGAUGCGUAGCCGACCUGAGAGGAUGAUCGGCCACACUGGAACUGAGACACGGUCCAGACUCCUACGGGAGGCAGCAGUAGGGAAUAUUCGGCAAUGGGCGAAAGCCUGAUCCAGCAAUGCCGCGUGAGUGAAGAAGGCCUUCGGAUUGUAAAACCCUUUUAUUAGGAAAGAAAAGCAGUGUGAUAAUACCCCCCUGUUCUGACGGUACCUAAAGAGAAAGCAACGGCUAACUUCGUG